AUGCCCGUGGAAGGCGCCGUCGGGAUCAAGGGCGAGGAGAUGGAGCAGGCCUCAGCGACAACUCCUACCACCAGUACGAUCAGGACAAAGCGAGCUCGUCCCAAGAGCAGUGCCACGCUGAGAAUCAAGACUCCAGUGGCGUCUCCUCCUGGAGGGGAGGGUGGUCCGGAGGAUAGGGACCACAUGUACCGGGGUGUUCGGCAGCGCAGGUGGGGCAGGUGGGUCUCUGAAGUCCGUGAGCCCAACCGCGGCAAGCGACACUGGCUGGGCACCUUCGACACCGCCGUUGACGCCGCCCUCGCAUACGACAGGGCCGCCGUGGCCAUCUAUGGCUCCCGCGCAAUCGUCAACUUCCCAUCUGCCUUCUUCAUCUCCACCGCCCAGCCAGUGCAAUGCCAUUCCCCGUCUUCUUCUCCUGCCACUGCUGCCUCUGUCCUUACUGAGCAUGGAGUGAAGCCGAUGAUGGCUGCUGCCUCUAUCCUUGAUGAGCAUGAAAUAAAGCCGGUGAUCACCGCCUCUGUCUCCGAUGAGCGUGAAGUAAAGCCAAUGGUCGCUGCUUCUGUCUUCGGUGAACGCGAAGUGAAGCCAAUGGUCGCUGCCUCUGUCUUCCAUGAGCGUGAAGUAAAGCCAAUGGUCCCUGCCUCUGUCUUCGGUGAGCGUGAAGUGAAGCCAGUGGUCGCUGCUUCUGUCUUCGGUGAACGCGAAGUGAAGCCAAUGGUCGCUGCCUCUGUCUUCCAUGAGCGUGAAGUGAAGCCAAUGGUCCCUGCCUCUGUCUUCGGUGAGCGUGAAGUGAGGCCAAUGGUCGCUGCCUCUGUCUCCGGUGAGCGUGAAGUAAAGCCAAUGGUUGCUGCCUCUGUCUUUGGUGAGCGCGAAGUGAAGCCAAUGGUCGCUGCCUCUGUCUUCGGUGAGCAUGAAGUCAAGCCGACGCCGGUGCACGGUGUUGGUGACGACACCUGGAUCGCUCAGCAUUGGGAUGCUUCUUGGGCUGAGCGAGAGGAAGUUUAUGCUGACUACCUCAAGGACAUUGCCAUGUAUAUUGAUGUUGAUGCUAUCACUGAGAAACUGGUGUACCACCCCGGCAUCUAUGGUAAAGAUUACCAGGUCGAUGGGUUCGAUGCUGAGUUCACCGUCUCGCCAUUGUGGGAGCUGGGUGACUGA
rnacentral:rRNA from 1 species